CCAGGCUUCAUCCUCACUCACACCCCUAAAAUUAAAGUCCGUUUGGAAUGUUGGGAGGUAUGCUGUGUGAUCCUGCCAAUAGCCUUUAUUCAAAAUGACUUCCUUGUCUGUUCCAGGAUCCAAACCCCAUCCCAACUGGUCCAGCGGCAAUGUUCAAUAUUGCUUCAAAGGGUUUAAGAAGCCUUGCUAUUAGAUGUGUGUUUCUAAUAACAUAAAACAGAAAGGCAGCUCUCCUACGAAUAAUAUAUUUAAAAAAACCUGUCAGGGC